GUCCUUUGUGGCUAAGCUUCUCUGCAGUACCAGAGAUUCAACCUGACCUGCAGGUUGAAUUCCAGCAAAUAAUUCGGAGUUCCUGUAAAGCAGACCCUUCCUUUCUGUAGGAAAGAGAGAACUGGAAGUGAAGGCUGCCAAGAAUUCAUUUUUGGAGAGAGUGGAAAAUUUAUGGAGUUUGAUUAGAUGAUUAAGAACCAAACUA